UUGAGUUUAUCCCAUUUUUGAGUCAGGAAAUGGGCUCUGCAUGCAGGGGCUGGGCCGGUUCUGAGCCCAGAUUUUGGGGUGGGAACUUUCCUACAGCAAAUUGGACCCCCCCUCCCCCCGCCCGCAAGGUAGUGCAAUCGAUAAGGAAGGAACCUCUCCCGCGCUUUCCGGCAUGAGUUUCUCCCUAAAUCUUCUUUUCCUGCACGGAAGAACCUGGAAAUGCACGACCGCAUGGAACACCUGAUCGAAAAGCAGGCCAACCCUGGGACCUUCAGCCGCACCCGUUCCAAGUCGGAGACGGUCAGCAGCAAAAGGUUCACCAAGCCCCUGGGACCGAAACCUUUGCCCCUGAUCCGAGUCUUGGAGACAUGAAUGGGAUUUGUGACUCCGCCUGGGGAAGUUGGUGCCCACUGCAGACCCGCUGGACGUCGGCUGCUGCCUCUUCUUCGCCGCUUCGUCUACCCCAAGUUCCUCACCCCCCCCCUCCUGUGCCAAGGGAGGGCAUUGGCACGAGCAGGAAGACCCUAAAAGCUGUGGGUUUUAAUUGCAUUGAGGCAGAGGAGGAGGAGGAAACGCUUGACUGCAGAAGGAAAAUGGAGCGAGCGGAUAGUGGAUUCACUUUGGAAAAAGGACGAUGCUUUUUAAGCUUCCCAACCCAGUUUCAGAGCUUUGGUUCUCCUGCAAACUUAUUUUGGGGUUGAGAGAGGGAGGAGAGAAGGGGC